CCUCUAUUUCUUGGCAUGCAUGAGUUGUUCAGUACUCAGGCGUGUAAUGUACGGAGGAAAAUGAAGUGCAGUGCUAUGUCUUCGGUGCCGGUGCGUUUUCAGGUCUGCCGGUUCUAUCCUCAAUCACUGUGACAUUA
rnacentral:snoRNA from 13 species